GGGCUUACUGUUUUUUAACAUUUUUAUUUUCUUUUCAGGAUAGUACGAACAUGAUUAACUAAGCAAACUAUUUAAAAUAAUUGAAAGGAAAAGAUAACUACCAAGUUUACCUCUUGGCAAGGCGUUCGGUGUUUUUAAGUCCUCCGAACGGGACUCUCCGUUUUCUCAGUCGUCAUAGGAUUCGUUGGAUGGCGUAGUCGGUGAUUCCGGCGGCGCCUCCUCUUCAUGUAUAACUAUCUUCUCUCUCCACACCUGAUUCGGUGCUACGGUCUCCUCAGGAUAAUUCUAUUCAACCUGUAUGUCUUCGGACCUUACCACUUCUCCUUCAUAGUCUGCCCAUCCGUCCUUAAUGAUUUGCCUCCUCUGGUUGCGGUUGCGUCGUCUUCUUCUUAUCCUGACCUGCUUAGAGUCUUCAAUUAUAUAGUUAGGGUUAGUAAAAUAGCGGCGUACCUUCUCUGAGGGGAAGUGCAUGUGGACUUCUCCGAUUCCAAUGUAGAUGAUUGCUUUAACAGUGCUGAGGAAAGGUCUCCCAAGGAUGAUGGAUGGAUCGUACUCAUCUUCUCCCAUGUC
rnacentral:lncRNA from 1 species